GUUACGGCUCCUUCUGCCCUCGGGGGUGGGGGGGAGAGGCGACACCCGCCGUGUCCCUGUACUCCUGCCCGGGAGCCGCCUGGCACCAAACCCGCUCCUGUCACGCAGGGAUCCCCUCCCCUGAGAACAACUUAGACUGCAUCUGAGGCGUCAGGAACACUUUUCUGUUCCUACACACAAGCAAACCAAGGCGCAGAAAGAAGCAAGGAAUUGAGCUGGGACCAUCCCGUCACUAGGGAAUACCGGCCUGCGGCUAUGCCAUGCCUCACGUGACUGCCCUACCUGCUUGCAUUGCUGCUGGAAGCGGAGGAACAGGCCUGCCUCAACAGCUGCUAGAGCAGACAUAUGGACAUCAGCUGUCACUGCCACAGGCAAGACAAUGCACAGCAAUAGUCAGCCGCAUUAUUCAGAUGUCGGAUUCUUUUCCUGGUGUUGCCUGA
rnacentral:lncRNA from 1 species